UACGGGGGGAGCAAGCGUUGUUCGGAUUUACUGGGCGUAAAGGGCGCGUAGGCGGUCAGCACAAGUCAGUUGUGAAAUCUCCGGGCUUAACUCGGAACGGCCAAGUGAUACUGUCACGCUAGAGUGCAGAAGGGGCAAUCGGAAUUCUUGGUGUAGCGGUGAAAUGCGUAGAUAUCAAGAGGAACACCUGAGGUGAAGACGGGUUGCUGGGCUGACACUGACGCUGAGGCGCGAAAGCCAGGGGAGCAAACGGG
rnacentral:rRNA from 1 species